rnacentral:rRNA from 1 species
UACGAAGGGAGCUAGCGUUGUUCGGAAUCACUGGGCGUAAAGCGCACGUAGGCGGAUUUGCCAGUCAGGGGUGAAAUCCCGGGGCUCAACCUCGGAACUGCCUUUGAUACUGAGGAUCUUGAGUCCGGGAGAGGUGAGUGGAACUGCGAGUGUAGAGGUGAAAUUCGUAGAUAUUCGCAAGAACACCAGUGGCGAAGGCGGACUCACUGGCCCGGUACUGACGCUGAGGUGCGAAAGCGUGGGGAGCAAACAGGG